rnacentral:rRNA from 1 species
GACGUAGGAGGCGAGCGUUAUCCGGAUUCACUGGGCGUAAAGCGCAUGUAGGCGGUUCGAUAAGUCCGCUGUUAAAGCCCCCGGCUCAACUGGGGGAGGUCAGUGGAGACUAUAGGACUUGAGGGCAACAGAGGCACGUGGAACUCCCGGUGUAGCGGUGGAAUGCGUAGAGAUCGGGAAGAACACCAGUGGCGAAGGCGACGUGCUGGGUUGCGACUGACGCUGAGAUGCGAAAGUGUGGGGAGCAAACAGG